GAGGGAAAGUUGAAAAGAACUUUGAAGAGAGAGUUCAAGAGUACGUGAAACCGCCUAGAGGGAAACGGAUGGGACCGCGAGGCUCGCCUCCGGGAUUCAGUUCGCCCGGGCCUGGGCCGUCGGCGUGCGCGCACCCUCGCGGGGCGUGCCGUCGGCGCCCGGGCUCGGACGGGCGCACUUUCCGGGGCACACGCGCCGGGACCGUUUCGUGGGCGUUCAGAAGUCCGCCGAGGACAGGUAGCCCUCCUCGGAGGGCGUUUGGCCUGGCGGACGGACAGCGCCCGCGGAUCGAGGUCUGAUUCAUCCAGCCGCGGCACGGGACCCCCGCCCCCGGCGGCCGCGCGACCGGGGAGGACUGUUCGCAGUGCUCUCCGACUGCCGGCCGUCGCAGAGGGAGGGGACCAACCUGUCACCCGCCUUUGGGUCCCCGGCCUUUCACAGUGGCACCCCAUCCGACCCGUCUUGAAACACGGACCAAGGAGUCUAACAUGUAUGCGAGUCAAUGGGUCUGCAAACCCAAGGGCGUAGUGAAAGUGAACUAGGUGGGAUCUGCGUCUCUAGGGGCGCGGCGCACCACCGGCCCGUCCCAGGUCGACUCGCUUGCGGGCCCGACCGGGGCGGAGCUAGAGCAUACACGUUGGGACCCGA
rnacentral:rRNA from 1 species